rnacentral:rRNA from 1 species
UCGAGAAUCUUCGGCAAUGGGCGCAAGCCUGACCGAGCGACGCCGCGUGUGGGAUGAAGGCCCUUGGGUUGUAAACCACUGUCAGAGGGGAUGAAGUUCAUGAGGGCAAUCUCUCAUGAUUGACAUAGCCUCAGAGGAAGCACGGGCUAAGUUCGUGCCAGCAGCCGCGGUAAUACGAACUGUGCGAACGUUAUUCGGAAUCACUGGGCUUACAGGGUGCGUAGGCGGCUUGUUAAGUAGGGUGUGAAAGCCCCCGGCUCAACCGGGGAAUUGCGCCCUAAACUGGCGAGCUGGAGUGAGAUAGGGGUGUGUGGAACUUCCGGUGGAGCGGUGAAAUGUGUUGAUAUCGGAAGGAACGCCGGUGGCGAAAGCGACACACUGGAUCUUGUCUGACGCUGAGGCACGAAAGCCAGGGGAGCGAACG